AUGCACGCUGGCGGCGUGCUUAACACCUGCAAGUCGAACGGAAAGGCCACAGCUUGCUGUGGUACUCGAGUGGCGAACGGGUGAGUAACACGUGGGUGAUCUGCCCUGUACUUCGGGAUAAGCUUGGGAAACUGGGUCUAAUACCGGAUAGGAAUCACAUGUGGGUGUGUGGUUGGAAAGCUUUUGCGGUAUGGGAUGAGCUCGCGGCCUAUCAGCUUGUUGGUGGGGUAAUGGCCUACCAAGGCGUCGACGGGUAGCCGGCCUGAGAGGGUGUACGGCCACAUUGGGACUGAGAUACGGCCCAGACUCCUACGGGAGGCAGCAGUGGGGAAUAUUGCACAAUGGGCGCAAGCCUGAUGCAGCGACGCCGCGUGGGGGAUGACGGCCUUCGGGUUGUAAACUCCUUUCGUCAGGGACGAAGCGAAAGUGACGGUACCUGGAUAAGAAGCACCGGCUAACUACGUG
rnacentral:rRNA from 1 species